CCUAAUGAUCAAAGGGUUUCAAAAUUUGUAAUUUUAAUGGUCGAUAAAAGGCGUUUUCUCGUUUAACGGCGUAAAGAUAUCCAAAUCAAUUGAAUUUUUGUUAGAAAAUUCUUGAAACUAUUUAAAACAAGAUCUAUACUCUUGAUCUUGAUUACAAGACUCCUAUCAUCAUUUUUUAAAGAGUAUUCAUUUUCAGCCAUUUAUUUUUCUGUUCACUUGAUGGAUAAAAGAACAAUAUCGAAAGUGCGUGAAAUUUGAUUUCUAGGUAGUUUAAAUAGUUUAGAUCAUAUUUAACGGAGCCGAUCGUCAAUUUGGAAGCUCUAUCAUCGAAAACAAAUCGGUAGUAAAACGGCUCGUUUACUACCGAUAGUAUUCUAGCUCAACUCGUACUAUUUAACAAGAAAGUUAUACUAUUUGAUACAUGUAAUAAAAUAUAAAGUAGUGCAGUUUUUUGUUAAAUAGGGCAACGUAUAUUCACAUAGUAUAAUUUAUUUUCAAAAAAAUACAACAUCACACUAUUUCUCAAAUUUUCCUCUCUCACUACCUCCACCACUUUGCCGCCCAACUUACUUAAACAAACCAAAUCUAGCGAAAGCAAACAAGUGUAUUCAUUCU
rnacentral:lncRNA from 1 species